rnacentral:rRNA from 1 species
AUUGAACGCUGGCGGCAUGCCUUACACAUGCAAGUCGAACGGUAACGGGCCUUCGGGUGCCGACGAGUGGCGAACGGGUGAGUAAUACAUCGGAACGUGCCCGAUCGUGGGGGAUAACGAGGCGAAAGCUUUGCUAAUACCGCAUACGAUCUACGGAUGAAAGCAGGGGACCGCAAGGCCUUGCGCGGACGGAGCGGCCGAUGGCAGAUUAGGUAGUUGGUGGGAUAAAAGCUUACCAAGCCGACGAUCUGUAGCUGGUCUGAGAGGAUGAUCAGCCACAUGGGGACGAAGACACGCCCCAGCCUCCUGGGGGGGGAGCAGGUGGGGAUUUUUGGACAAGGGGCGAAGGCCGGACCCACCAAUGCCGCGUGAAGAAGGAGGGUCUUGGGGUUGAAAAUUGUUUUGUAACGGAAGAAAAAGCUUUUUUUAAAAACGGGGGGGCAAGAAGGGAACGGAAAAAAAAAGCCCCGGCAAACUAGGUC